CCAUGCAAGUCUCCGUACAAACUGCAUUAAAGUGAAACCGCAAAAGGCUCAGUAAACCAGUCAUGAUUUACGGGAGUAAACGUGACUGUCUUUGGAUAACUGUGGUAAUCCUAGAGCUAAUACAUGCAAUCAAGUCCCGACCAGUUCCACUGGGAAGGACGCUUUUAUUAGAUCAAGACCAAUCGCCCGUCUUCGGGCGGGCGUCUCCUUGGUGACUCUAGGUAACACAUCAGAUCGCACGGUCUCGCACCGGCGACGCAUCCUUCAAAUGCCUGACUUAUCAACUUACGAUGGUAGACUCCAUGUCUACCAUGGUGAUAACGGGUAACGGGGAAUCAGGGUUCGAUUCCGGAGAGGGAGCCUGAGAAACGGCUACCACAUCCAAGGAAGGCAGCAGGCACGCAAAUUACCCACUCCCGGCACGGGGAGGUAGUGACAAAAAAUAACGAUACGGGACUCAUUUGAGGCCCCGUAAUCGGAAUGAGUACACUUUAAAUCCUUUAACGAGGAUCCAUUGGAGGGCAAGUCUGGUGCCAGCAGCCGCGGUAAUUCCAGCUCCAAUAGCGUAUAUUAAAGUUGUUGCGGUUAAAAAGCUCGUAGUUGGUUCUGCGUGCCACGCUGUCGGUUCGCCGCCUGCCGGUGCUACUGGCAUGCCGUGGCAUGUCCUGUCGGUGGGUGUCCGGGUCCCCGUGCGGGCGGGCCGGAGGCGACUCCGUGCCACGUCGGCGGGUUUUCCCCCGGCUCCCUACUAUCCUACCUAGGUGCUCUUCACCGAGUGUCGAGGUAGGCCGACACGUUUACUUUGAAUAAAUCAGAGUGCUUAAAGCAGGCUGAAAAAUUCUGCCUGAAUGAUGGCGCAUGGAAUAAUAAAACAGGACCUUGGUUCUAUUUUGUUGGUUCUUAAGAACACAAGGUAAUGAUCAAUAAGGACAGGCGGGGGCAUUCGUAUUGCGGGGUUAGACUUGGCAAAUGCUUUCGCGGUGAAAUUCUUGGAUCCUCGCAAGACGACCGAGAGCGAAAGCAUUUGCCAAGUAUGUCUCGAUUGAUCAAGAACGAAAGUUAGAGGUUCGAAGGCGAUCAGAUACCGCCCUAGUUCUAACCAUAAACGAUGCCAGCCAGCGAUCCGCCGAUGUUCCUCCGAUGACUCGGCGGGGAGCUUCCCCCCGGGAAACCAAAGCUUUUGGGUUCCGGGGGAAGUAUGGUUGCAAAGCUGAAACUUAAAGGAAUUGACGGAAGGGCACCACCAGGAGUGGAGCCUGCGGCUUAAUUUGACUCAACACGGGAAACCUCACCAGGUCAGGACAUUGUCAGGAUUGACAGAUUGAUAGCUCUUUCUUGAUUCAGUGGGUAGUGGUGCAUGGCCGUUCUUAGUUGGUGG
rnacentral:rRNA from 1 species